GGGCAAUCUGCCUGUCAGACUGGAAUAACAAUCCGGAAACGGGUAGCUAAUGCCGGAUAGGCAACGAGUAGGGCAUCUACUUGUUGAGAAAGCUGCUACGGCAGUACUGACAGAGGAGCCCGCGGCGCAUUAGCUAGUUGGUGGGGUAAUGGCUCACCAAGGCGACGAUGCGUAGCCGACCUGAGAGGGUGACCGGCCACACUGGGACUGAGACACGGCCCAGACUCCUACGGGAGGCAGCAGUAGGGAAUCUUCCGCAAUGGGCGCAAGCCUGACGGAGCAACGCCGCGUGAGCGAAGAAGGCCUUCGGGUUGUAAAGCUCAGUCAUUCGGGAAGAGCGGACAGGAGAGGGAAUGCUCCUGUCGAGACGGUACCGGAAGAGGAAGCCCCGGCUAACUACGUG
rnacentral:rRNA from 1 species